rnacentral:rRNA from 1 species
UACGUAGGGUGCAAGCGUUGUCCGGAAUUAUUGGGCGUAAAGAGCUCGUAGGCGGUUUGUCGCGUCUGCUGUGAAAACGCGAGGCUCAACCUCGCGCCUGCAGUGGGUACGGGCAGACUAGAGUGCGGUAGGGGAGAUUGGAAUUCCUGGUGUAGCGGUGGAAUGCGCAGAUAUCAGGAGGAACACCGGUGGCGAAGGCGGGUCUCUGGGCCAAUACUGACGCUGAGGAGCGAAAGCGUGGGGAGCGAACAGG